ACACGUAAGUCUAUUUCUAUAUAAACUCUCUUAAGAGUUAAUUCAUGGACUUUGCAUAUUUUUAUAUUCUCACGGUUCUUCUCUUAUGAAUGUGUUUCAAGUUUAGUAAUUUAUGAACUUCUCAUAUUUACUGAAGGAGAAAAGGAAGGGGAUGAGAGACAAAGUGGAGCUAUUGCUACAAUGGAAGCAAGCAAGUAUAUACUAUUGGGUUCAAGCAGAUUUAAUUCAGGAAUAGGCAUGGAGCAUAAUUUGAUACAGGUAAUGAAUAUACUAAUAUUGUUUUGUUCACAUUCAUGUGCUAUACAUACACAUCUAAGGUCACUGAAGUACUUGAUAGAAUGGAAAGCCCGUGUGUGUAUGUACAUAUUAUAAUUGGAUCUAAGUUCCUUGCUAGAGCAUACAUGUAAAUGGACAUAUUCAAAAUAGUGCUGGUACAGGUAAUCUCUAUGUACCAUUAAUCUUAUCUUCCUUUAUUAUUUAUCUCUCACAA